UAUUUAAUUCUUGUUGAUUCAGUGUUGUAAAUGAUGAUUGUAUGAUAGAUGAUUCACCUUGGAUUUGAAUACAAUUUAGUGUCUCCUUUUGAUUUUAAAUUUCAGCGUAAAUGAUGAUUGUAUGAUAGAUGAUGUCCGACCUUGGAUUUGAAUACAAUUUCGGUGUAAAUAAUGAUUUUUUUUUUCUGAAAUGCAGCUGGACAGGUUCAUUCCCAAUUGCACUGCGAUGGAUUUUGACUAUGCACAUUACAUGCUCAGUGGUGGCUAGGUUAAAAAGGAACACGUUGGAGUAAAUUCUUCAUCUAAAGAAGCUUACUUAAAGCUGUUAGCACAAGUUUUCAACAUGAACAAAACGAGAUCCUUGCUUUUAAGAAUAAACCUCCGCCUUUGGUUGAGAGAGUUUCCGAAUCUCCAUCAAAUAUUCAACAGUCAAAAGCCGUUAUACAUUCCCCAAUCUGCGUAGAGUACCCUGGAUGCUCCUGACAUCCUAGAUGAUUUUUGUCUCAAUUUGUUAGACUGGGGAGCAGUAAUGUUAUUGCCAUUGGGUUAGGGAAUUCUGUAUAUCUGUGGGAUCCUACACGCACGUCGUUGUUGAUGAUCAUACUAUUCAUGCCUCCAGUUGUCAGUAUAUGGCCACCAUUCCAAUCAAGUGAGCCAACCCUUAAUCUGUGUCCUUGUAAUGUCCUCAGCUGUGUAAAAAGAAAGAUGUUAGACUUGUGAUAAUAAUUAGACUAGAAGAAGGAAGAAGGCGAAAGAAACCACUUACCAAUUGGCUAGACCCCUGCAAGGUGUCCCACAGCUGAACGUGCGAAUUAUUCAAGGCAACUGCAAGCUGACGCUAGUCACCGGCUCAGAAUCAUCACCAACCGUGAGAAGCUCAGUAGUCGAAGCAUGCCACGGAUAAUUCCCCUAACCCAAUGUAUGAAAAUAUUUAGACACCCUUUUCCCUUUACUAAAAGCUGCUGCAAACAAAAACUGAAAAUACAAACAGCAGCUAAUAUACAAGAAUCAAGAAAAUCCUGUAGAAGAGUGUACUUGCUAGCAGUGGUUGUAGUACUUGUUGAUGGGGGAAAUGGGGAUUUUGAUUAAGUGGUGAUUAACAUAUGUAAUAUUAAUUGAUGUAUAGUUAUAAGUUUUGGAAAAUAAGUAAUUUAUGUUGACAAUAAAGUAUUAUUUUUUUGA